rnacentral:lncRNA from 1 species
GGCGGCGGCAGCGUUAGCUAACUUCUUAAAAGCUUUAUAUUUUAAAAGGUAGAAGACCUGGAUGCUUCAUACUUUGUAUAUAGAUGCCUCAUGUUACAAACUUUCCGUCAGUCACAUGUCCAAUGUCCUUGACCUCAUUUUCAUGGUUCAGUGACUACUUGAAAAAAAAGUUAAGAUUUUUUGUAAUGUUAAAUUAUCUCUUAUUAUAAGUAAUUGGAUAACUAUAUUUGGUAUGUGCGUACCUUGCAAGGUCCUCAUGCCCGUCAGACAAUUUUCACUUGACCUCGACCUCAAUUCAUGGAUCAGUGAACAAGGUUAAGUUUUGGUGGACAAGUCCAUAUCUCAGAUACUAUAAGCAAUAGGUCUAGUAUAUUCGGUGUAUGGAAGGACUGUAAGGUGUACAUGUCCAACUGGCAGGUGUCAUCUGACCUUGACCUCAUUU